UCCACCUUCACCUGCUUCUGUAACAGGGCAGCCCUCUAGAGGAAACCGGCCUCAGAGAGCUGACUUCAGCUCCUCCAUGGGGGACUUGUGAUGAACCAACAAAAUCUUUCUCAGGUUCUAAAAAUUCCCAGGUGGGCCUGCAUUUUGGUUAGCAACAUCCUCCUGGAGGAAGGCGGGAGGAAGUGGCUGCAGCAGUGGAAAGGGAAGGGGUACGGCUUGGGGGCAGCUGGGGACCUAAAGAACUUCAGGCCUAAGGCCUUGAAACUGGAUGUUAAGUCUCAGGGGAGAGCUUAGCUGGGAAAAGGGCGUUAACGACAACUGCCCCGCCGCCAGGGGGCGUCCUCUCUGCGUCUCCAGGCAUCCCUAUUUCCCACCAUUCGGGAUGCCUGUGCCCAGGAGGGUUGAGCGCUUAACCUUUACGCAGAGGCAUGGGGUUCCCGGGAGAUCAUAUCGCCCGGGGUGUGCAGAAGGAAAUUGGGUUGGGGUCCGCUGUGUGGGCAGUCAAUCGCUCCUUCCGACCUUCCUCUUCCCACCCUCGCUGAGCCAGCCCAGACGUCGGCAGUCUCCACCCUUCCUCCCUGCUCCGGGAGACCCGGCUCCCUGGGGGAAGGGCUGAAGGCAACGCAGACGCAGCCAGCCAAGAGGCUUGGGCCAGGGUCUCAGGGCAAAGGGCGUGGGAAGGGCUGGCCCUCAGAGCCGGUUGGCGAGUCCCCAGUACUGGGCACAGUGCCCACCCACCUUGCCCGUGACAUCGUAGCUCGGACUGCAGGGCGGGGAGUGCUCGGGCGCCUCUCCAUCCCGGGUGGCAGCGGCGCCAGACAUGCCCGUCACGUCCCCUGGAUGAGAGGAAGAGGAGCGGACACGCAGGGAGAAGCCGGCCAUGUGAACACAGACGCAGAGAUCCGAGUGGUGUAUUUACAAGCCAACAAAUGGCGAGCAUCACCAGGAGCCACCAGAAGCUGGAGGAAGCAAAGAAGGAGACCCCCGCCUCCCGCCCCCCAGAGCCUUCAGAGGGCUUCUAACUUCCAGCUGUGGUUUGUGUUGUUGGCUCAACCAAGAUCCUCCUUUGUCCUGUGCUGCCAGGAUUUUCCUGAAGUUUCUCCAGGUUGGCCCCAAAUCUCACUGCUUGGAGAAGCUGAAUGUCAACUUUGGAUCCAGAAUUUCCAUUGCACCUUCCCUCCUCUGAAGCAUUUGUGAAAAUGUUAAUUAAUCGUGGUUCAAACAGAGACCUCUGUGCCAACUCUGCCACCAUUCAGACAAGUGUUUCCGUUCUGUCUUAAGUCAGUUGGUUUAUGUUUGUAUUUGGCUCCAUCCAUUCCAAAAGGAAUUUGAGGAAUUCAAAACCCGCCUACACCAAAGGCCAGGUAAUGAUACCGCCUGAAGCAAUCUUCCGCCCCAGAGUGACCUGGCUUGUUCCUAUAUCUGAGCGUUACAUUUGCUUUUAGAUUUCCUGGCAUCCACGACAAAAUGGGAAGCCAGAUGGGGUAUGUAGUACUUAUUGCCUGAGUCUUCUCAAUGAGUGAGUAUUUUCUGCCAGCAUGUGAUGUGGAGAAGAAUCUCUUAUGUGGAUUCUUAUAUGAGGGGCCUCUAGUGACAAAAUGGAAGAGUUGGGAUUUUGCAGAGAAGGUGAAGCUUUUCCUAUAGCUUUUCUAUUGACUCUUUUUUUUUUAUAAAAACAUUUUUUUAAUGUUUAUUCAUUUUUGAGAGACACAGAGAGACAGAGCAUGAGCAGGGAAGGGGCAGAGAGAGAGGGAGAUGCGGAAUCCGAAGAAGGCUCCAGGCUCUGAGCUGUCAGCACAGAGCCCGACACGGGGCUCGAACUCACGAACUGUGAGAUUAUGACCUGAGCUGAAGUUGGGCGCUCAACCGACUGAGCCACCCAAGUGCCCCUCUAUUGACUCUUGCUAAAAGCCAGGGCCUGACAUUAAAUCGCACUUCAGCAGACACUUCUCAGCUGGGCAAAUGUUGCCUAAGUGCUCUGCUUUCCUGUGACUUCCUGACUCAAGGGGAACACUUAGAAAACCUAGGUGAAUGGGGUGGUUACCAUGGCUCCUAACUGAUCUGAGCCACCUUCUUAAUCAGACGGGGAAUUCAGAUGCCAUAAAGAAAAAGAUAGAUAGAUCUGACUGUACAGACAUAAAAAUGUCCUGGUUGACAGAAGAUACCAAAAUGAAAUGAGAAAUGAUGGAGAGGAAAUAUUUGCAAGAUGUGUGACAGACAAAGGGUUAAUACACGUAGUAGUGUAAAGAGCUCUCAAAAGGAAAUCUCAGUAGGAAAGUGAACAAAGAAUAUGAGUACAUAGAUUGUGUGUGUGUGUGUGUGUGUGUGUGUGUAAAUGUGUGUAAAUGUGUCAACCUGGCCAGGCUAUAGCAUGUAGUUAUUCAAUUAAACACGAAUCUCUAUGUUGCCAUGAAGGUAUGUUAUAGAUGUACAGAUUAUAUAUUACAGAUAUACAAUCGGUUGACUUGUAAAUCUUCAAUAAUCUGGAUGGGCCUCAUCCAAUUAAUUGAAAGAACUUAGAGCAAAACUGAGGUUUCCCCGAGGAAGAAGAAAUUCUGUUCAAAAUUGUAGCAUCAGCUUCUCCCUGAGAAUUUUCAGCCUGCCAGUCUACCCUACAGAUUUUGGACAGGCCAGCCCCCCAGAGUCACGAAAGCCAAUUCCUUGAACUAAACAUCUCUCAGUAUAUUUCAUCCUGGUAUGUUUCUCUGAAUCAAUAUAACAUAUAAUGCUUUGGUAAAAGUAUGAUAAGGGUCAACAUUGGCUGAGAGUUGGGGAAACAAACACUCGUACUUACACCAUUGGUGGGAACAUACGUUGGGGCAUUUGGAAGAGCAACUGACAAUAUCUACUGAAGUUACAAAUGCAAAUUCCUUUGUCUCAACAGUUCUAUGGCUUUAGUGCACAAGUUCACCAAGAUAUGUGUACAAGGAUGUUCAUCGCAGCAUUUGUAAGUGCAAAUAAUCCAGCAAUUGGGACUGCUUAAAUAAACUGUAGGGGCGCCUGGGUGGCUCAGUCAGUUGAGCGUCCGACUUCGGCUCAGGUCAUGAUCUCGAAGUCUGUGAGUUCGAGCCCCGCGUCGGGCUCUGUGCUGACGGCUUGGAGCCUGGAGCCUGCUUCAGAUUCUGUGUCUCCCUAUCUCUCUGCUCCUCCCCUGCUCACACUCUGUCUCUCUGUCAAAAAUAAAUAAAGAUUAAAAAAAAACCGAACUGUAGAAUAUCCAUAUAGUGCAAUACUGCGAAGCUGAUAAAAGAAUGAGGUAGGGGUGCCUGGCUGGCUGGCUCUGUUGGUAAAGCAUGGCACUCUUGAUCUCAGGGUCGUUGAGUUCAAGCCCCACACUGAGUGUAGAGAUUACUUAAAAAAAAAAGAAAAAAAAGAAUGAGGUAGAUCUCUAUGUGCUGUUUGGGAAAAAUGAUAUUAUGGAGUAAAAAAAGGAGCAGCAAGAUAUGCUUGUGUGCUGACUUAUGUUGACUUCACCUAGAUACACAAUGGAAUUAUAUGGGUGUGUAUGCUUCUCUACAGGGAGGCAGCAGAGACCGACAGUGGCUACCUUUGAGGUUCUGGGGUGGUGGGGUGGGGAAUGGGGGUGGGGAAAAGGCUUACUUUUCACUUUAUCUCUACCUUAUUUAUUUAAUUAUUUUAUUCAAUGUUUAUUUCUUUAUUUUUGAGAGAGAGAGAGAGCAUGCACAAGCUGGGGAGGCGCAGAGAGAAAGAGGGAGACAGAGAAUCCGAAGCAGGCUCCAGGCUCUGAGCCGUCAGCACAAGCCCAACGCGGGGCUCGAACUCACAGACCGCGAGAUCAUGACCUGAGCCGAAGUCAGACGCUCAACCAACUGAGCCACCCAGGCACCCCUAAUUACCUUUUAAAGAAAAGUGUUAACAGGGAGUAUUUCAGAGUGGGCAUUAUCAGUCAUGUUUUCUUUUUGUACUUUUCUGUAUUAAAAAUCCCUAGUAAGUGUAAUAAAGUGGUUGAUGAAGUAAA